rnacentral:rRNA from 1 species
GACGAACGCUGGCGGCGUGCCUAACACAUGCAAGUCGAACGGACAUUAAUUUUUCGGAAUUGAUGUUAGUGGCGGACGGGUGAGUAACGCGUGAGCAACCUGCCUUUCAGAGGGGGAUAACGUAUGGAAACGUACGCUAAUACCGCAUGACAUAUAUUUGCCGCAUGGCAGAUAUAUCAAAGGAGCAAUCCGCUGAGAGAUGGGCUCGCGUCCGAUUAGAUAGUUGGUGGGGUAACGGCUACCAAGUCAGCGAUCGGUAGCCGGACUGAGAGGUUGAACGGGCCACAUUGGGACUCGAGACACGGCCCAGACUCCUACGGGAGGCAGCAGUGGGGGAUAUUGCACAAUGGGCGAAAGCCUGAUGCAGCAACGCCGCGUGAGGGAAGACGGUUUUCGGAUUGUAAACCUCUGUCUUUGGUGACGAAACAAAUGACGGUAGCCAAGGAGAAGCCACGGCUAACUACGUGCCAGCAGCCGCGGUAAACUGUAGUCGUA